UACGUAGGGCGCAAGCGUUGUCCGGAAUUAUUGGGCGUAAAGAGCUCGUAGGCGGUUUGUCGCGUCUGCCGUGAAAGUCCGGGGCUCAACUCCGGAUCUGCGGUGGGUACGGGCAGACUAGAGUGAUGUAGGGGAGACUGGAAUUCCUGGUGUAGCGGUGAAAUGCGCAGAUAUCAGGAAGAACACCCGUGGCGAAAGCGGCUCUCUGGAACGGUACUGACGCUGAGACGCGAAAGCGUGAGGAGCGAACAGG
rnacentral:rRNA from 1 species